AAUGGAUUUUCUAAAGUACGCUCUGAAUAUAGCAGAGAAACGCAAGAACUCUUGCGCGAUUACAAGUAUCGAGUUUACGUUCUUAUAGAAUGUAGAUAAAGUAGAUACCUGCUCCAUGAGAUUUACCAAUGGCUCAGUUUAUCAUAUCAACAUGUCGGAAAACACAAGUCCAACCUCUGGAAAAAAAUAAGAGGUCUUCGCGUUCAUCCAGUCUGUUACAUCGGAGUUUUUAUGAAGAAAAUCCAGACUGGAAAUACAACGAAUGGAUUUGUUAAAUUAGAAAAUCGUCAUGUCCUUAUACGACGAUUUUGACAAGCAUCGGACCUCGGAGAAGGUCGCAGGAUGGUCUUCAGGCAUCAAAUUGCUACAAUCGCAACUGCAACUGAAAAAAGCUGCAACGACACAGCCAAAACGUGAGCAGUACAGGAAGGCAACUGCAGUUUUAGCACCAGUGAUAGACCUGAAAUCGAAGAACAAUCGUGAUGUGGACAGAGAGGAAGAGAGUAUUCAUAGCAAUCCAUUGUCUGGUAGCAGUGUGAAUACUCUAGGAGUGGGUAGUGAGUUCGAUUGGAACGUGGUAAAUGAGUAUGAUCCCAUGUGGCCUAACGAGUAUGAGAAAGUUGUAAAAGAACUACGCGAUAUGAGAGACAGAGAGCAUGAUCAGGAAACGGAAAUGCGCAAACGCAGGAGGGAUAAUACUCGCUUUGAGGAUACUCAGGCUGCUAGUAGCAAUAGUACAAUGAUACCUCCUGAAAGGGACGAAGAGAGGACACCAUCCUCGAGAGCAAUAAUUGGAGGUGCUGCCAUAGCACCACCACCAUCCUUGCAAGAAUCUUCGGAAUUGCCACCGCCACGUCAGUCACCUAAUUUAGGCUACGGGACAUCGUCUGUUGCGGCGAAGAUAAUGGCAAAGUACGGGUUCAAGGAAGGACAAGGUCUUGGUAAAAAGGAACAGGGUAUGUCGGUCGCGUUGCAGGUGGAGAAGACGAGUAAACGUGGUGGUAGAAUAGUCGGUGAGAGAGAACAGCUGAUGCCUCCACCAGCACCUCUUACUGCUUCUCCGCCACAGAUGCAAUUGCAACAGCAGUUUCAGCUACCUCCAGAAGAGCCUAGCAUCACCGAAAUAAUGAAGUGUCCGAGCAAGGUUGUGCUCUUGCGCAACAUGGUUGGUCCUGGAGAAGUGGACGAUGAUCUCGAACCAGAGGUGAAGGACGAAUGUAACACAAAGUACGGUGACGUCGCGCGCGUAAUUAUCCACGAAGUGAUCGAAGCCGCACCGGAGGAAGCAGUGCGAAUUUUCGUGGAAUUUAAAAGGAUAGAAAGCGCGAUCAAGGCUGUGGUCGAUUUAAAUGGACGUUUUUUCGGUGGUAGACAGGUCAGAGCAGGAUUUUACUCCAGUGAAAAGCUCGACAACUUACAACUGAUGGACUAGUUUUACGUGUAAUAAGAAUUCUAAACGCUAAUUCGAGUGCUCGUUUCUUCACGUCAUUCUUCAAUACUUAUCAUUUACAAUUUCUCCAUGUUUCAACAAUCUGUUGAGGAGGCAAACGCGCAUUCUAUUUCCUGUGACAGAAAAAUGGUACAAACAUUGCAAAUUAUUGAUAAAAAUAUUGUGAGUAAAAACAAUUUCCACGCAUGUGAGAAUGAGAACCUUUUAUCCUUAUUUAUUACCAGUUUAACACGUUGAUCGCCCAUAAAUCGGAUGUGUUUCUCGGUAGAUUGAGACGCUGCGGCUUAUUUUGAUUCUCGACAGUGAUAUUUGAUUCGAUUUGUAGAAUGUCACUGAUAUUAUAGAUAAUUAUCUGGAAUGGUAUUAUUUUCGCUUGCCACUCUGCUCCGCAGUUUUAAAGCGUCACCCAAUUGUGGGUGACGGGGCCCCUGAAGAAACAUCGUUGUCACCCAGAUUUGGGUAACGUGGCGAUCAAUGUCUUAAGGAAAAAUAAAUUACGAAAAACUACAAUUGAUUUGAGUUUAUACUCUUUCUUAUUACAUUCUUUAUAGAAUGUAAUAACUUUAAUUAUAAUAUAACUUCAGAACAUCUUAUAUAUAUACAUAUAUUUAAUAUAAUUUAUAUAAUUAUUUAUAUAAAAAUUUACAUACAGUGUAACAAUCUUAUUUCCACGUAGGAAUAAUUAAAUAAGACGAACACGUUAUAAAUAUUCAGUAGAAAAUGUAACUUCUAACCAUACAUUUGAUUAAUAUACAUUAUAAAUAUGCUCUC